rnacentral:ribozyme from 1 species
UGGAAGAAACCAACAAACAAACAAAAAAAAAAUAAAAAAACAAGAGACAGAGGCUAUUUGAGCCUUUUCUUUCAACCUAUGACGACGAUUCCCAUUUUUCAUUUCUCACCCACC